GCAGCAGAGGCGGCGCGACGCCGUGGCGAGGGCAGCGCCGAAGUGUCGACUGCUUUCGUGCUAGUCGCAAUCAUGCCACCAGCCGGGCGCAAAAGCUCGCGUCUAAGCUACUCCCCGUGGCGCAGCCGCUGCUGCUGAAAGUGUGCCUCUCCGUUUUCUCUUUCUCUCUGCCUGCCUGUCCAUCUAUCCCCCUGUUCCUCUCUUUCGCCUUUCGCUCGCGAUCGCGUGUGUCGCGUUCUGUACUCCUGUCUGUCCGUCUAUCUGUCCCUCGCUUUCUCGGUCCCUCUCUCCGCACGACGGAGAGGAACGAGGUGUCGAGUGUCGCGGAAGGAAGCAAAAAGUAGUCAAGGAGGCGGCGGCAGCGUGGCGUACGAGGAGGAGGAGGAGGAGGAGGACGGCGGCGGAGGAGGCGACGACGACGACGAGGAGGCGGCUGGUGCUGCUGCAGCCGGUGACAAGAGCAGCAGCAGCAGCACGACUACGAGCAACGCACUUCGAACGACGAAACACAACGAAAAGUGACGACGAGUAUCAGUGCAGCACGAACGCGAGCUAAGAGAGCCGAGGGGUUUCCAUGCGACGAGGAGGAGCGAAGCAGCACGGAAGCCCAGCCGAGGUCAAGGAUGGAAGAGCGUGCUCGACUCGCAAGCAGCAGCACCACCACCAAAAGCAACAGCAGGAUCAAGCUGAGUCGUCGCUGAAGGCCCGGCCGAGGCUCUGAAGUCAGCCGGACCUGACAAGGCGACAUGCAAAAUCCACAGCAGCAGCAGCAGUCCCAAAAUCCUCAGCAGCCGGGCAUACCGGGUGGCGCGCCUAAUGGCGUCGCCGGAGGGACUCAGAUGCCCCAGAGCCCGGGCCAUCAGCAGUUUGGGCCCGGCGGUAGUGGCGGGCCCAAUAGGGCCCAGGUCAACGGGGGCAGGUUCGAUUUCGACGACGGAGGCACCUACUGCGGGGGAUGGGAGGACGGCAAGGCCCACGGACACGGGGUCUGCACGGGGCCCAAGGGCCAGGGCGCUUACUCCGGCAGCUGGCACUUUGGCUUCGAGGUAUCCGGCGUCUACACGUGGCCCAGCGGUUCGUGUUACGAGGGCCAAUGGCAGAACGGCAAGCGGCACGGUCUCGGUAUGGAGACGCGUGGUCGCUGGCUGUAUCGUGGCGAGUGGACCCAGGGCUUCAAGGGCCGCUACGGGGUGAGGCAAUCGACCACCUCGACCGCCAAGUACGAGGGCACUUGGUCGAGCGGCCUUCAGGACGGCUACGGCUCCGAGACCUAUGCCGACAGCGGAACGUACCAGGGACAAUGGCUGCGAGGUAUGCGACAUGGUUACGGAGUGCGGGCGAGCGCGCCGUUCGGUCUGGCCUCGCAUUACAAGCCGACGGGCAAAGGGGUUAGGGCGUCGCUGACGUCUCUGAGGAGCACCGAAGGUGCCCCGGGAACGGCACCGACGCCCGAGCCGACCGAUAGGCGGGAUCGCCGAGUCGACGAUAGCAGAGGAGGCUUCGUGCUCAAAGCGAGGAGCGACGAUCCGCCCGCCAGGCGGAAAAGUCUUACCGAGAAGUCCCUUAAAAAGGGAAUCCUCGCUGGCUUGAAAAUCCGUAAGCAAAGGAGCACGGGCGACCUUGAAAAGCGUGGCACGGCAGGCAGUAUCCGGAGCAAUGCGAGCACCGCGUCGUGGAUGUCGACCGAGAGCUCGCAGAGCCAGGCUUCCGCCUCGAUGCACACCGACAGCAACGCCUCCUUCGUUAUCGAGGACGAACAGAUGGAUGCCUCCGUAACCGAAACAUACCUCGGCGAGUGGAAGAACGACAAGCGUACGGGCUUCGGCGUCUCGGAGCGUAGCGACGGUCUGCGCUACGAGGGCGAGUGGUUCAACAACCGCAAGUACGGCUACGGUGUGACGACGUUCCGCGACAACAGCAAGGAGGAGGGCAAGUACAAGAACAACGUGCUCAUCACCAGCCAGAAGAAGAAGCACCUCUUCCUCAUACGCUCGGCCAAGUUCCGCGAGAGGAUAGACGCCGCGGUGGCGGCGGCUCAGCGCGCCAGCAAGAUUGCCCUUCAGAAGGCCGACAUCGCGAUAUCGCGAACCGCGACGGCCAGGGGCAAGGCCGAGCUGGCCGACAUCGCCGCGGAGCACGCGAGGGAGGACUCCGAGCUGGCCCAGCAAACGGCCAGGCAGUUCGCCCCGGACUUCCGGCAACCGGGAUUAGAAAGGCUAAAGAAUCGCGAUAUUCCAAAGUACGUUCCUCCGCCCCAAGACGCGAUGCCGGGCAAGAGCAUACUGCACAAGGGUUCCAGCCUCGACCAGCAGAACACGACGCCUAUGAAGCAGCAGCAACCGCAGCAACUGGCCCAGCAACCGGUCGGCGCGGACGGGCUCGACUCGGGCGGAGCGACUGGCGCCGUCAGUCAGGUGCUCCGGCGAGCCAGCAUGAAGCCACUGCCGCAGAACACCUUGACCCUGGCCGACCUGAUGCCGCAGAACCAGUCGUCCAAUCCGUACUCGGCCCAGAACCAGCUGCCCGGCUCGCCCAGCAGCCAGAGCAGUCCCAGCAAUCCCUACUCCCCCCAGAUGACGCUUCCCCAGAACCAGUUCCCCACCAGCAGCACGCCGCCCGCCAUGACCAUGUACCAGCAGCAGCAGCAGCAGUACCAAGCUGGCCAGUACGGACAGCAGAAUCCUUACGGGGCGACGCAGUACGGACAGUCGCAGUACCCGAGCUCGCAAAACGUGGACCAAUACGGAAACUACGGACAGGGAUUCCAGAAUCAGUAUCAGACGCAGCCCGGUUAUGCGAACCAACAGAUGUUGUUACAACAACCGCAUUUGGUUUCGUACAGCCCAAUGUCUUUAAGCCAAAUGAGUCUUUAUGGAGCGCAACCCUUUGGUCCGCCUAUACCCAAUCAAUAUGGAUACACACCGAUGAUGAAUCAGAUGAACCAGUACAGCCCGACGGCGCAGCAGCAGCAGACCACGUACAAUCCGCGGCUGGAUCAGAUGCAGCAGCAGUUCCAAUCCGCGGAGAACCAGCAGAGGCUGCCCAACACGACGAGUAUACGAAGGAACAGCCGAAUACUCAGCCCUCAAGACAGACCUGCCCCUGGCGGCAUCGGACAAACACUCAAUGACAGACUGGAUCACUACAAGAGGCCCCCGAGUCGAGACAGUUCCGUGGAUCGAUACAGAAGACAUCCGCUCGUCAGCGGAUCAAGACAGACCUCCGUCGAUAAAAUGGCUCCGUCGCCAACGCCAGAUAUUCCAGACAACAGGUCGAUUAGAAGCCCAAGCGCCUUACGGUUAGGUACGCCGCUCAACGGAUCGGUGUUGGGCAGCGGUACCGCGACGCCGAGCUACGCUGCCUCUCAGUCCAGUCAGUUCGAGGACGUGCUGAUAAAGAACAAAGGCCUCGGACAGGAGAUACUGCCAAGUCCCGGUCAGCCGAAGCGCACCGAGAGUCUGUACGUCACGCCUGGAAGAGGUGGUGGUGGGGGUGGUGGCGGCGGCGGAAGCGGUGGAGGCGGUGGAGGAAUCAAGGACGCGAGCCGGACGGUCCCCGCCUUCACCGCAACAGCGAAGGGCCGCGCAACCCUCUAAGUAUAAGUAUCCUAACUCAUUCCAAUUUAACAAGCGAAAAUCACUCGAACGUCGAUAACUAUAAAUAAGGAUUAAUAUUCACUAGCGAGGAGAGUGUGAGCAUUUUCACUCUUGAAUCAUAUCGAACUGUGCUUGAUCAUCCUUGUCGAUUGUUCGCGCUACUGGUGUACAACUAACUAUUGUGAACAAAGUGUCAAGAGUCAAAAGGAUUAUACUCUCCUGGCCACAAUACUCGCAUAUACUUUUAGCAAAUAUAAAAGAAGUGAUCAAAGAAAUAUUUUUCGAGGGAUAGGUGAUGUGUUCUAUUUACAGAUCGAUAAUGAAAGUCCGGAUGUUCACGAAUGAAAAUAUACGUUGACUAUAAAGAGACGCUUGAGUAUAAUUUUAAGGAAACAGAGGAAGAUCAGCAAAUAUAUUACGAUACGUCCUGAUCAAAUUACGCUGUUUAAUUAUGAAAAUCUAUGAAUGUACCUGCUGAUAUUCGUCUUGUAAUUUUGGAUAGUUGCGUGUAUGUUGCUCGACUGGAAACAAUUGUGAGAAUUUGUGAUAUAUUGUAAAUGGAUAAUUUUAUGAUACAGACGUCUAUGGACGUUAUUACGUCCAAAAACAAACUGACGGCUCUUUUCUGGCAAUUGUUUCCGCGUUGAAUCAGCAGACAAAUUUUUGCCACGACGUGUGCCGAGCGACUAUUUCUCACAAGAUAACGAUAUCUGAGUACCACGAUUCCACGAUUUCUUAGUACAAUACAACAAUCACCAGCUCAAUAAUAAAGUGGUCAUCUGAAUUGGCGCUUGGAAAUUAUAUACAGAUAUUCGACGAAACGUCGCACUCGAAAUACCGCCGAAAGAGCUUAUUUUUCUAUCGUAAAAGCAUUUAUAUCGAAAGAUGUUCGCUCGGUACAGUCACAAAUUUACAGGGUGAAUCUUACACUUGAUCGGCACGAUCGUACCGAUUCACUAAAAUAGUAUGAUUGCAAGGUUCGAUAUUUUGACAAAAGGAAAAAAGAGAAAAAAAGAAAAUUUGCUCGUUAGAGACGAAAACGCUACAUUGCGAAGAACAAUAAUCGUUAUUAAUCGCACAUGUUCCUUCAUUCCAGAGCAACUAAUGCCCUCCAGUUUGCGAUUUGUUUCUCAGCGUUACAACUAGAAUAUAGUGCAUACAUACAACGUUAACAAAGUAAGCGUUAACGUAACGUUAAGUAUAUGAGAACUUUCACAUCAGUCGUUGAUUUGUUCGAAUCAAAGUCUUAGGCUCUGAUCCAUUUGCCUUCGUUCGACUCCCCGAAAACCAAUCGUGAACGUUCAAUAAAGAAUUCGUCCGUUCGUAGACUGCAACGAGAUAUGAUGCCGGCCGUUAAAACUUUGGGGGAUUUCGAAGAGGCAAAUGCUUUAAAGACCUCGAGCCAAUCGAUCAACGCGUAUAAAAUAUAACGCACCUAAAAUGUGUAGUGCAACAAAGACGGCCAUCAAACUAUAUAUUAUACAUCGUUCAAAUGAUGGACUACUAAAAAUGUAUGAAAAAAAUAUUUAGCUAGAUGCAACACAAAUGUCCGAUCAAUAUGCGUUAUGUCGAUGAUAAUAAACGUGUUUUGCCAUACGAUUAUGUAUGUGAGAAUACAACAAAAACACACAGGUAUAGCAUAUGAUAAUAUUAACAAUAAUAGUGGGAAAAAUGCAGGAACAUCGAGGGGGUUGUGCGCGCGGUGUGGAGGCGGGGACCAAGGAUUUACGUGUAACGUUUUUACGGACCUGUGUACAAUUUAUUGAACAAUGCGACGAGACAAGGCGUCGAGUGAAGUCCAAUUUCCUAUUUUCCCUCUGUAUACUUAUUGUGCAUACGUAACAGACACUCACACUUCUAUAUUGUUGCUCUAUUGUUCUCCGCAGACUUUAAAAUUUUUUCUGAAAAUUCGAAUAAGCUUUGAUGAUAUAAAAAACACACGUAUUUUUUAAAAACAAAUAUUUAUAUACUCUUCCAACUCCACACCGCUUCCCCCCUUGUUUGUCAAAGAUGUUAUUUUUCUAACGCAUGCUUUUAUCUCUCUAUUGUAUACAGCAUAUAUUGUAUAAUUACGCCAUGUACCGCAUUGACACAUAACAUUACAGUAUUUGAGAUAUCGACCAUCAGCUUAGAUAAUAGCUAUAGAAAAAGUAUUUAACGUAUUCUAGUGAAUAGUGAUCUUGAUAGUGUAAACUAUGAGUGUAGUCUCGUGUUGCAAGUUUUUAGUUCCUUCAAAAAUAGAUAGAGUUUAUAUUGGUAUGUAACAAACCAAUCUAGCUAGGAUUACCCAAUUCAAUUUCCGUUAUACGUUUUGCAAAGUAAAUUUUUUCAUUACAUUUGAGGGACUCUCAGCAAUAACGUUAUUACUUUUUUUCGAUAAAAUAUUUCUAUAAAUCCAUCGUGGAAGGGAACUUAUUGCAAGGUUGAGAGAAAUGUUUAUGCGUAAAAAUCUGUAUAAAAGUAUAUAACGAACAAAGUGCUAAGAAUUCUGCAACGUAUAUGUACGAUUUCGCCUUAAUCCAAUCGGUGUCCUUAUUCUUAUAACUAUAAAUAUUAUAACUACCGAGAAUCGCGAGCCAUUUCUAGAUUCGCAGAUGUAUAAAUAAAACUCAUAAAGAAUUUAAACUUUACGCUAUAUCUCUAAAACUGCAGAUCAUUAAACGAGUAUAUUUUUCGAUUUGGUUCAACUGCGAACGAUUUGGAUACAGAAUGGUCCUAUAAGUGAAACAAUAUUUCAUAUUCACGCAUUUAUAAUUUCCAUGUUUGUAAGUUUGACGUUGUUUAGGAAACAACAUUUUCAUAUAUACUCUCAGUACACGAUGUUUUGUAUUUAUAUUAGUAGCUCGAAUAUCUUCACUCUUUUGAUAAUUUUUAUACAGUUUUAUAUUAGAGUAAUUAAUUUAAAUAAUAGUACAUCACGAGAAUUGUUUGCACAAUACAUUGUUAUUACGAAAAGAGUAAUAAUGAAAAAUCUCGAGGAAGAAUAUUCAAGUGCCAAGCUUCGCAAAGUGUCUUUUCUCGUAAACACGAAACAUACCUCGGCAUAUAUUAUAAUGGUUUACUUUUUCAAAAUGAAAAAUCCUUGAUCGGCGCAGGUACUUUUUCCGCGUCAUAUUUUCAAACGCAAUGCGUGGAAAAUAAGAUAUACACAUACAAUUAUUUAAAAAUAUUUUUGGGUCGCGACUUACUACGAUAUAUAAUAUAACUGUUACAAAAAAAAAUAUGAUGAAUAUAAUGACGAAAUAAUAUAAAAGUGUGUAAAACAAAUAAUUCAAAAAAGUGCACAAAUGAAUAUUUAUGCAGUACGAAUUUAUAAAGAACAAAGUAUAACACAUGAAAGAAAAUGCAAGGCGGACUAUGAAGCAGUGUGCAAACGUAUGUGUACAUAAAAAUAUUACUAUAGUUAAAAGUAAUAUUAUAUAUUUAAAUAUAGUAUACAUAUAUACAUAUGUGUAUGGCCAAAUAUUUUAAGAUCGAGUUUUGUCAUCAUAUUAUACGCAUGAUUUUGUUUGUGACGGGCCUAUUACAGGGCCAAUGUAACAAAAACUUAACCAUAAGAGCAGCUCUAUUUAUAAUUAUUUAUGGCCACUGCUAAUUAAAAAAUAAUCUACUAAUACUCCGCAGAAAAAGCUGGACUGUGUAUGUGUCUAAUGAGUGUAAGUCAACGUGCGUGUGUUAAAAGUGAUUUACGCGUUCAUUUAUUCGGACAUCGUAAUAUUAUGCUAUAGAUUUAAUUGUGGACAUUUUUUUCAAAUUUGUUUAUAGAGAGAUUCAGAGUCUCUUUCGUUCCUGUGAUUGCUUUAUACGUGUUAUAUCGUCAACGUGUAAAUAAUCUAUGAGUUUUAUUGACUCACUCUGAGCCAUUACUUUCAGUACGAGAAUAAAUUUUAUGUGAAUCAUUGAUGUAGGAAACCUUUAAAUGUGUUCGAAACGAAUAAAUUAUAAAGAAUUAUCCAGACAGUUUAUAGAUCUAUAUUGUGUCUCAUGCUUUAUAUCGAAACCUUUUUAUAUGCACACAAGAAGAAUGAUCAAUUAUAAAUGCAUUUGGUUCUAAUGGGGAGCGUCGAUCGUAAAAACGGUUCAGAUUUGAAUUCUAUCGUGGAUUUAAAAAUAUUCUAUUCUUUUCUCAUUUUUAAGAAAAUUAUUUAUAACCAUUCGACGUAAGGAAGUAAGUCGCCGGCGUCUCAAAUAAAAACAAACUUUAAACUCAGAUGUUGCAUCGGGCAAAUUCUACACGCAGUAAAAAGCUCACAACAGAAAGAGACGGGGAGCUCGCGCAAAAAUAACAUUGUCGAACAAUACGAUACGUGUGUCUCGAAAAAAGAGAAGCAGCCGUCCCCGCCCUUCGAUCGGUUCGUUCGUUCGGGGGUAAUCCGCGUGCCAAAUAUUUGCGCGAGGACAACGAUACACGCACAAGUGUAAGACGAAGCAGAGACAGCAGCAGUAGCUCUACAAUCGGCGAUAUUUCGGAGCUCCCAAAAUAAUUCUCGCGAAGCCUCGCUGGGGUCCGGGACCAGGUUGUUCGGUAGAUGAGUCGCCGAUUAUUUGCACGGAAGCACUAAUUGCCGCGCUCGUUGACACGCGACGAUGCACUGCUCGAUUUGGUCAAGUGGAAAAUGUCUCUUGGUUCUUCGGUGGGCGUUUGAGUUAGGAUUCUUUCUGUCUCCAAACUUAAUCUUCGUCUUCUCCGAUUUUACAUUCUUGACAGUUCACUUUUUCUCAUAUCAAUUCCGCCGUAAGCUCUCUUCUUCAAUUUCAAACUUUGCACGGCACUCGUCUUCUUUAAAAUUAUCGCAGAGAGAAGCAUUCAGUCUUGCGUCUUGUUUUCGUCUCGCUCCAACGGUAUCAAUGCCAUUGUGUACCCACAGCCCAUUAAUCAGGUGAAUCAAGCAUCAUGAUCAUCAGGUAUACUCUUCACCGGGGCCGCGAGAUAGAGAGGGGAAAAUACUCUUCUAUUUCCGUCGCAGGCGCGCGCGCGCGAGAGAGAGAGAGAGAGAGAGAGAGAGAGAGAGAGAGAGAGAGAGAGAGAGAGAGAGAGAGAAGGCGCUAGAGCGCGGGGACGUUCAGUCUGCGGCCUGGCCUCCACUGCACAUAAACAACAAAAGUUCUCCGUUUCACAUCGCUAGUCUCGUAGGUGGUGACCCGGCACCACCCGAUGGGUCACCACCACUGAUAACGCGAUAAGUGAUUGUUGUAAUACACGUGCCGGGAAGAUGUUCUGGUCUUCGGAACCGGAUGAGGAGGAGGAGGCGUUGCUCUGCAGUCCAGCCCUCAUGGCCAGGAGGGCUUCCGAGUCCUGGAUCGUCGCGCCACCCGUUGAGGUACGAGAUCCCAGUCGCGUCGAUGAUUGAAAGUGGCCGUUUCCAAAAGAUAUUUCUCCUUUCGCGAUGGUGUCUUCCUGUAGAAUAAAGUGUUUUUUUUUAUUCUAGCUUUUUUUGCCUUUUUACGCGAAAAAUAAUAUAAUGUGAGCUAUUUCGACAAGCGAUUGUGUGUUGUGAAGUAAGUCAGCAGUUUCGGGCAUGUUUUCGAGAGCUUCUGCCAAAAUAGCGGUGCUUCAAUGGCACACCACGUGAGCAAUUAUGUAAAGAUAUUUAUUAUAAAGGUUCAAGAGCUACCCAGAGAAUGUUCGCUACCGAUGUUCCCGCGUUGACGUUAAUCUCCUGCAAAUUUACUGGUGAUCGUGUACGACUUCAAAACCGUUUGUUUUUCGAAUACACACGUAUAGAUAAGGAAGAAAACAGUUUGCACAGAAUCAUCGUAUGAUGCUUUCAAACUCGGCCAUUCAAUUGCACAGCAAUAGCUAAUUUCGUAGUGACAUUGAGACAGCUUGCUAUAUUUAUACAAAAAUUAGACGUGACAACUUUAGCUGUAACAUUUGCUCGCUCAUAAUAGUAGUCUAUCCUAGCCUUUUUUAUCAUCUAUAGCAGCUGCGACAAUGUUUCCUAUUGACAAUAACAACGCAACGCUUUUUCAAAGUUCAGUGGCACUCAUUCAUAGUCUUCUAAUGGGCGUUAAAAUUUUUAAGAUCGCCCGUAUCUAAACUUUGUCAAACGAUUCGCGAACUUCGUCCAGAGCCCGUAAUAACCAGUUUUCGCGGGCUUUUUAAAUUAAAACCACGUUACAGCCAUCUAAAGCUUCUACAAUUAAGAACAUUACAAGCCCUCGAUCGGUAAGGUAGAUCAGUAUACUGAUGUCCUAACCCCGCUACUAAAUCACAAUACGCUGCGGCCAAAAUUGUCGUGGCGUCAAGUUCACGCGUCGUUGAAAAGUUUCACGGUCGAUCGUGUAGAUGAAAAACAAGGAUGGGGCGACAAUGGCGCCGAGCGAAAUUAUGGGGACGAGGAUUUGCGUUUGGCCGGCUUCCAGGACUCCUCUGGUAGUUCGGCCAGGAAUUGCAUAGCUUAUGAAUCGAGGUGUCCAAUUAUAAUUCCGGGGUCAUCUCCGUCUCUCUCUCUCUCUCUCUCUCUCUCUCUCCUCUCUCUCUCUCUCUCCUCUCUCUCUCUCUCUCUCCUCUCUCUCUCUCUCUCUCUCUCUCUCUUUAUAUCCGAUCUCUCUCUCCUCCUCACUCCAUCUCUCUUUCUCCCCGGAAGGAAAAGAUACGAGGCGAGGCUUCGAGGAAGGUAUGACGAAUUCUGCUUGUUUCUUCAACCGUCUUAAAUUAGCGAAAUAACACGCGGACCAGCGUAUAUUCGACGAUUGAUUUAUGGAAACUUCUGACAAAAAUUCACACGCGCGUUUAUUUUCAUCGUGAAGCCCUGACGUCAAGCUUCCCUUGAAUCUGCCUUGCGGACUUCUCUGUCAAAGUGUCAAACGUAUCCGUGGAAUAUGCUAAUUAUAUAACGGCCCUCGUUUGUCUUGAAAGAGUAAAAAUUGUGCGGACCGAGCUCAGUCGAAAUAAGCUCGUUGUAUAGCUUGGAUUUUCGUUUUUUACUAUUAUCAUACUGCGAUUUAUCGAUGUAGCGAUAACACCUGAGUUAUAUCUAAUAAUUUUUUGUGUGCAAUAAGAGCAUGAAACAACUAACACAUCAACAACGAUUAACUUCUUUUAAUUUUCACUUGAAAUAGGUACAUUAAAAUUAUAUUAUAAUUUGUCAUUGGAACUAUGUUAUAGCUUCAAUGACAAGCACCAACAAUUCAAUGUAGCUUCAAUAUGGUCAUUAUACAGUCAAAUUUGAAAGGAAAAAAGAAGCGCGCGUGUGGCAUUGAAAAGAAAAAAAAAUAGCAUAGAAAGUUGCAAUUCCUACUCCAUCUGCCCUGUUAUUUAGGCGAUGCCGGUGGCGGCGAUGAGCCUGCAACGAAAAAAAUCACUGCCGGACGUGACGCAGCCGAUCCAACUGGCCGCAACCGCACCGCUGUCUAGGGAAGAGGCCAGCGUGCUAAGCAGCUUGAGGCGCGAGGAAGUGCGCAAGCAAAUCUACGAGCACGAGAGGCUCAAGGCCAAUCCUCUGCUCUACCUAGUCAGUCCUCAGGUUAAAGACUGGUUCUCGCGACAGCAGCUGGUGAUGCUUGUACUGUUCAUCAACAUAUCGCUGGCGUUGAUGUUCAUCAAGCUGCUCACGUAGCAUCAACAGGCCGGCGGCAAUCGACUUGAGCAUCGAGUCGUGGAGGUCACUUGAAGCGAGAAGUCGAGGACUCGAAAUGAUGAUUCAUAACUCUCUUAACUCUUUGGAUGUCUUUUAACGAAAAGAUAUGGGGGAUGAGAUGAGCAUUCAGGUGGCCAUUGAUUGUAUGCUUCAUACAUUUGACAAUUCCUGGAAGGAAAUGCUCUGCACGAGGACGAUUUUCGAACGAAGAUGAUGAUGAUGAGGAGAGAACGACACGGCUUUGGCACACACAAGUGCUGCUGAAACUGAAAGUACUAAAGCCGUGACUGAUGUUAUACGCGGCGAAGGAAGAAAUUUUUGUUUGUUGUCGCGGUUUUUUGUUGUUGUUCUUGUUGUUGAGCUUCGCGCUAAGUGCUGGUUGAUAAAAACUUUUUUUUAAGAGAUGAGAGAAGCAUACACGGGGAUCAAGAGCCGGUGGCAUAUUAUACAUAGACACGCGCACGUCUGUAGAAUAAUUUAGCGAAUGAGAGCCGUCAUAUACAUGCCGAUCGGUGUAUACACAUGACGAGUAAUGCGAAUACACUGCUACUGUCGUAAAAUUGUCGGCGCGACGUACCGAAUACGAGGAGCUAAGAGGCCGGGAUUCGUGUUAUAGGUUUGUACGCGACCGCGUGACGAUUAUCAUUUGUGUUCUGCUGGUCGAGUUUUGACAAAAUUUUUCGAGUUUCGAAAGCUCUGUAACAUAUAAUUACUGUAUACUACUAUUUUUACACUGAACGUUUUCAUAAAGGCUCCGCUAAUGAAUCUUCAAUUGAAGUCAAAGCAAAAAAGGGAGAGAGAGAAAGUAAGAAAUUGUAAUAAAUUGAAUGAAGCUAAAUAAAUGAAUGUGGCUGCAGGGAGGGGCCAUAAGAGCGAAGCCAUUUAAUUGUUUCAGCGAGACUCCAAUUGAUCGUAACUUGUGCGCACAAAGAGUAUAAGUAAGUAAGAAAAAAACCAGUUGAAUAAAAAAAAAACCUUAUGUAAUAUUUGUAAAACGAUCGACGAACGGUGGAGAUCGCGACUGUUAUAGACUUUAACAAAAAAAUUUAUCGACUUUACGGAUCGAAUUUCAGGGCCCAAAGUCGCGACGAAAGCCGCAGGCGCGCAGUGCGACGCCAAUCGAAUUAAUUUAUUUAUUUUUCGUUGUUGUUGUUGUUGCUGCUGCUGCUGCCAAGGGCUUUCUCCUUUUAUCUAGUAGGCGCGACGACUACGACUAUAUUAUAGGUAUGGCUUUUGAGGACGUCGAUCGAGACCCACCGAAGUCGACUGAAAUUGCUCUUUGUACUGUAUUAAUUGUAAAGGCGAAAGUCGGGAGGAUACGAGGAGGGAGGUGACCUUAGGAUAAAGCCGGAGAAAUUAGCAUAUCGACAGAUCGUUUUUGCACUUUACGAGAUAAGCCAGAGCGACAAAAUGCAAAAUAAUAUUCGAGUAUUUUAUCAGAACGAGUAAUAUGGAUAAUAAAAAGUAAUGAAUAAACUGCACAACGUUUGUAACUUGCUGCUAUCUAUAUUUACUUAUCUAUUUCUUGAAGAAUCCAUUCGACAAAGUCGCUAAUAUAUUAGACGCUAUAUUUACACACCAAGAAGAACGAAACACUAUGGUAACGUAACGAAUAUGAUAAAUAUAUACUGCAAAAAGACGUUUUAUAAUAGAGAAUGGCAUUUCGUCCUCCUCUUUGGCGUUUACACUAAAAAUUUAACGAUUUACUCCGUGUCUAUUUCUGAAAAAAGACGCUUUCAAGACAUACAUUUAAUAUAAAACCCGCGGUUCGAUGCUCGAAGUCUUUAUAGAGUAUAUAAAAAUUCGACGUGAUUAUCGAGAGAUCGAAGAAAGCGCCGAGGAGGGGGAUCGAAUUUUUUCGGUCGGAAAAAAAAAAUAAAGAAGAGUUUCCAGAAACUGUUGUAGCUGCACGGUGAAACGGAGACGAGACUUUGUAGCGAGCGAAUGUCCAGAGUCAGAAUGUAAGAAUGCGUGUAUGCAAUUAUAUGGAAGAGUGCAAAAGUUACGAAGAUGAAAAAAAUUUCGAAACAUUUAUCAUUAUUAACUUAUUUGGCUUAUACACGAAGGAACAAAUAAAGAUGACAAAUUGUCGGUACCUCGUGCCUUCUAUGCCUUCCGAAUCUGCAGGUACCGGGUGAAAAUUGUUUUUUUCACGUUGCGUGGUAAAUGCCCAAUCUCGAAACAUAUACACAUAUAUACGAAAUUCUGAUAAUGGGAGGCAAAAUUUAUAAAGCUCACAAAACAGAGUUUAAUCGACGCCACACCUUUUUCCUUAGCCCGUUCAAGCCAAAAUGUAUCGCUGUCGUAUACAUUAACAAGAAAAAAAAAUAAUAAGCAAAACUAAAAGUUCUAUCGAUCCAGAUUGUGUAAAAAAUGUCGGGCCUCUCGGAUCCAAGCAUUGUAUAACUUUUAUCGACAUAGGAAUUCAGUAAAACGGAGUAAACUUAUAUAUAGUAUAAAUCUGCAUGAAACAGAGGAUUCGGGGAGUGAAAAGUAUAAUGUUUCCUCAAAGGAUGAACUUGAAUUCCCCGCGUUAUUAUACAUCUUUUUCUUACCGCCGUAGCUUUACGUAUAGUCACUUGGGCAAAAAGCAUCCUUACAUCGUUGUAAUAAUGUACGCGCAAUACGGGCAUUGGUCAUGUGUGCGUGUGCGUUUCUAGACUUUUACGACGAACAUUUUCAGAAAGUCAAGACGUCUCUGUUUAAGAAACAGAUUUCUCGAUUUGAAAAAUAAAUAUUGACAGAAAGCGAAAAAGAACAAUAUCUUGUCAGGCGCUUUGAAUCUGUAAAAAAUUUCGAUUGCGUGUAUUAUAUGUGCUGUAUAACUACAUCGAUUCACUUCUUAUUUCAUCGAUGUGUAUAAUGCCGAGAGUUUUGGUAAUCAAUUGAAUCAUAAUUUGUCGAAGGAUAAAAUGAAAUUCGUAAAAAUACAAUGAGGUCUUUGUAAGUCUUAAGCGCGUUUUUCCGUGUAAAGGAUUAAGCAGGGUUAAGUGAACAACAUCUCGCAUCGGUCGUGCUGAGCGCGUACAGUGUUAUUAUAUACAUUAUACAAAAAAUAUUGUUACGGGAGAAUAUGAAUGUAUACGAAGAUCACGCGUUUUCAAGGUAAAACACGUUGAUACAUCGUUUUUUGUUGUAUUUCAUCAUAAGAUUUGAUUCAUAUUUAAACUAAUAAAAGAUACAAUAAAAAUCAUGGGUAUUUUUUUGUAUUUUGCUGCGUAUUUGAUGUCAAUACUUUUUUUAAUCAAACUAACAUGCCAUCAUGAUUCAAGGAAUGAUUACUGCUGAGUCGAUUUUCCUGUUAUUUUCUUCAUUAAGGAUAAUAAUCCAUGCAUAUCGUAGAUUGAUGCUGCAUCAAUAUAAUGAUCAUUGAAUUUAGCGUCCAUAAUAAUUUUCAAGCGUGAGCUUGCCUAUUACACCCGUGCAAAUUAUUCUUGACGCUUAGUGCACGCUUUAUUUUUCAUUUAUUUAUUUUACCAGAACGUCGUUUUUUUUAUUUGAUCUCUAUUUGUGAAAAGAAAACUGCAGCAAUUUAAGCGCACAUGCGUCAACGGCAUUCGCACAUUGCCACAGUGUAUUUGUACAAACAAAUGUGCAGUGACAAAGGUUACCACUUAUAAAUUGUUAAACCGGAAAUCAGUAAAAUAUAUACGUUUAUGGCAUUUAAUACUACAAGUAAAUAGACAACAGAAUCGAUGAGUAGAAAACCAAAAUUGCGCGAAUCGUAAUUUGGAGGACAACGUUAUUCUAGACAUUCAAUUCCUCACGUAUCAUUAUCAUUAAUCUUGGUUACUCUCAUAUAAGCCAAGCGCCAAACCUUCGUAAUGUCAAUUUUCUAUCAUUGAUCAGCAUCUUAUAAACGCGAAAAAUUGCUUGCAGCUACUUAUAUGCACGUCCUCUCGAUGAAUCUCGCGCAGCAAAUAGAAUUAAUGAAUUGUUACUUAUUCUAUAAAUGAAUCCAAGCCAUAUCAUGACAUGCAUAAAGUGGAAACUUACUUUGUACAGAUAUGAGCGUACGCAGCAUGAGUUUAUUAUUGAGAGUUCGACAAAAAAUAUUAGAGCGAAAUACGAAAGAAAAAAUAUGAUUUUUGACUUUUUAUUAGACGAUUCUUAUAAUAUAUCCAUUUGUACAUUUUAAUUGUUGACAACUUCUUGACUAUAGUCUAUUCUAUCAUAAUUAUACAUUAAAAAAAAACACAUAUGUAUUUUUGUAAAAAACACAUAUGUAUGUAAACAUAUUUAUCGAUUCUUCUUUAUAUUUUAUAUUAUUGUAUAAGAACUGUCAUUAUAUUAUUAUAUUAUAUGUAUGAUUGAUACUAUUACAUUUAAAAUUAUUGUCGCGUUGUAUUAUAAUGAGCAUUGCAAUGAUUGUUAUUAAAAUAGGUAUCUUCGAAAUGAAGCAGAACGAAAAAUAGCCUCGAGGAUUAUUUCUUUAUUUCGAUGCAAAAGGAAAACUUGCGCAAGACCAGCUAUUCAAUAAACUUGUAUUAUAAAUCCACAA